AGAUUCCCUAAGUAGUGGCGAGCGAAAGGGGAACAGCCUAGAACAAAAUUACAUUUUAGUUUUUAGUGGAAAAAUUUGGAAAAGUUUACAAUAAAAGGUGAUAGUCCUGUACACGAAAAUUACUAAUUUUGUAAGUUCGAAAAGUAGGGCGGGACACGAGAAAUCCUGUCUGAAUAUGGGGGGACCAUCCUCUAAGGCUAAAUACUACUGACUGACCGAUAGUGAACUAGUACCGUGAGGGAAAGGCGAAAAGAACCCCGGUUAGGGGAGUGAAAUAGAACCUGAAACCGUAUACGUACAAGCAGUAGGAGCCUGUUUUUUAGGUGACUGCGUACCUUUUGUAUAAUGGGUCAGCGACUUGUAUUCUGUAGCAAGGUUAACCGAUUUUAAAGUAAGGGAGCCGUAGGGAAACCGAGUCUGAAAUGGGCGAUUUUUAGUUUCAGGAUACAGACCCGAAACCCGGUGAUCUAGCCACGGACAGGUUGAAGGUUAGGUAAAACUAACUGGAGGACCGAACCGACUGAUGUUGAAAAAUCAGCGGAUGAUCUAUGGUUAGGGGUGAAAGGCCAAUCAAACCGGGAGAUAGCUGGUUCUCCCCGAAAGCUAUUUAGGUAGCGCCUCGUGAAUUCAUCUUCGGGGGUAGAGCACUGUUUCGGUUAGGGAGCCAUCCUGGUUUACCAAUCCGAUGCAAACUCCGAAUACCGUAGAAUGUUAUCACGGGAGACACACAGCGGGUGCUAACGUUCGUUGUGGAGAGGGAAACAACCCAGACCGCCAGCUAAGGUCCCAAAGUCAUAGUUAAGUGGGAAACGAUGUGGGAAGGCAUAAACAGCCAGGAUGUUGGCUUAGAAGCAGCCAUCAUUUAAAGAAAGCGUAAUAGCUCACUGGUCGAGUCAGCCUGCGCGGAAGAUGUAACGGGGCUAAAUUAUGCACCGAAGCUGCGGCAAUGAAUCUUAAAAGUUUUAUUGGGUAGGGGAGCGUUCUGUAAGCCGAUGAAGAUUUACUGUAAAGUAUUUUGGAGGUAUCAGAAGUGCGAAUGCUGACAUGAGUAACGAUAAAAUAGGUAAAAAACCUAUUCGCCGAAAUACCAAGGUUUCCUGUCCAACGGUAAUCGAGGCAGGGUAAGCCGACCCCUAAGGCGAGGCCGAUAGGCGUAGUCGAUGGACAACAGGUUAAUAUUCCUGUGCUUAAUGUUAUUGUGAAGGGGGGACGAAGUAGGUUAAGUUAGCUAGGCGACGGUUGUCCUAGUUUAAGCGUGUAGGUAUAAAAAUUUGGCAAAUCCGGUUUUUUUUAAUCUGAGGCGUGAUGACGAACUGUUUUUAAAACAAUGAAGUAACUGAUACCAAACUUCCAAGAAAAGCCUCUAAACUAUAGAUAAUGUUAAAUCGUACCCCAAACCGACACAGGUGGUUAAGUAGAGCAUACUAAGGCGUUGAGAGAACUCGGGUGAAGGAACUAGGCAAAAUAGUGCCGUAACUUCGGGAAAAGGCACACUGGUAUUAGGUUAAUAGAAUUUACUUUUAUAAGCUGAAACCAGUCUAAGAUAACAGCUGGCUGCAACUGUUUAUUAAAAACACAGCACUGUGCAAACACGAAAGUGGAAGUAUACGGUGUGACGCCUGCCCGGUGCCGGAAGGUUAAUCGAAGGAGUCAAGGGAAACCUAAAGCUCUAGACUGAAGCCCCGGUAAACGGCGGCCGUAACUAUAACGGUCCUAAGGUAGCGAAAUUCCUUGUCGGGUAAGUUCCGACCUGCACGAAUGGCGUAAUGAUGGCCAGACUGUCUCCACCCGAGACUCAGUGAAAUUGAAAUUGCUGUGAAGAUGCAGUGUACCCGCGGCAAGACGGAAAGACCCCGUGAACCUUUACUAUAGCUUGACAUUGAACAUUGAUUUUUAAUGUGUAGGAUAGGUGGGAAACUAUGAACCUUUUACGCUAGUUUAAGGGGAGUUGACCUUGAAAUACCACCCUUUAAUAGUUAAUUUUCUAAUCUAGUACCGUUAUCCGGUAUGGAAACAGUGUCUGGUGGGUAGUUUGACUGGGGCGGUCUCCUCCCAAAGAGUAACGGAGGAGUACAAAGAUUGGCUAAUUACGGUUGGAAAUCGUAAGGUUAGUGCAAAGGCAUAAGCCAGUUUAACUGUGAGCGUGAUAACGCGAACAGAUGCGAAAGCAGGUCUUAGUGAUCCGGUGGUUUCUGUAUGGAAAGGCCAUCGCUCAACAAAUAAAAGGUACUCCGGGGAUAACAGGCUGAUACCGCCCAAGAGUUCAUAUCGACGGCGGUGUUUGGCACCUCGAUGUCGGCUCAUCACAUCCUGGGGCUGAAGCAGGUCCCAAGGGUAUGGCUGUU
rnacentral:rRNA from 1 species